rnacentral:rRNA from 1 species
AAAUUGAAGAGUUUGAUCAUGGCUCAGAUUGAACGCUGGCGGCAGGCCUAACACAUGCAAGUCGAGCGGAAACGAGUUAUCAGAACCUUCGGGGGACGAUAACGGCGUCGAGCGGCGGACGGGUGAGUAAUGCCUAGGAAAUUGCCCUGAUGUGGGGGAUAACCAUUGGAAACGAUGGCUAAUACCGCAUGAUGCCUGACGGGCCAAAGA